ACAUACCAAAGACUCACUGCAGGUGUGGCUUCUGUGUCGCAUGUGCAUCAGUAGGUGACAGAGAGGAGUGAACCUAUGUUUACACUCAGUGUUCUGACCUGUGAACAUCAGAAUGGUUAGUGGCUUUGAAAA